CACACAUAUUAUGUGCACAAACUUAUUUUGGAUGCAUUUAUUCAUUUGAAAGCACUAAAAAAAAAAUUUAAUUAUACAUCUCAUUUAUCAAAUUAUUUAGUACUACAAUUAACGUAAAUGUUUUGAUACUGAAAUCUGCUUGUUUUUUGAACGAGACCCAACUUAUAAACUCUUUAUCUACACUAAUAUCCAUCAGCGUUUGGUCCACGAGUCGUGUUUUCAGAGGGCAGCUGAUGAAAGUAAAAUGACAACAUAUGGGUCAGCAAAUCAGAGACACGAUCCCGUCAGGAUUUGUGUUUAAGUGAGGUAGAGCCACAAGAUACACACGACGACAAACACCUCGGCCGAAUCCACGCUUUCACACACACCGCUGACUCCGGGAGCGUCAGUGAGCGACGGACGAGUGUCCACCGUGACGAUGCUCGCUCCGGCGCUGUGGUUUCAGUACAGACCGAAUGGAAAGCUGUUGUUUGGGUUAAGGCACUAAGAUGAACCCGAGGAAAAGAAAAGACCCACAACGCAGUUCACACAUGCAGCAUAUCUGUGCAACGACCACAAAAACUCAUUUUCAAGCUACCGAACGACUAAAUCCACAAACAGAAGGCAAUUGGAAACACAAGUACAGAAGGUGAAAAGGCAAGCUCGAGAUGUGUAGCCUGCUUCGAUUAUAGCAGCACAGAGACGUUCCACUCCUGAACCAAAGAGCAAGCAACGUUUGGCCGAUUACACGUUCUAAACAAAACUGUAAACCGUGAGCAGUGAUCAAUAUCCACGAGGAGAAUAGUACGUCUCCCGUGGGUCUGAGUUCUGGGUCAUCCAGAAUGUUUCUGUUAACCCAAGUGAAAAUAAAGCACACGACCAUAAAGAGCACGGUUUUCACACACUCAUUGUGUUCUUAAUAUAC